UACGUAGGGUGCAAGCGUUAAUCGGAAUUACUGGGCGUAAAGCGUGCGCAGGCGGUUUUGUAAGUCAGAUGUGAAAUCCCCGGGCUUAACCUGGGAACUGCGUUUGAAACUACAAGGCUAGAGUGUGACAGAGGGGGGUGGAAUUCCACGUGUAGCAGUGAAAUGCGUAGAGAUGUGGAGGAACACCGAUGGCGAAGGCAGCCCCCUGGGCUAACACUGACGCUGAGGUGCGAAAGCGUGGGGAGCAAACAGG
rnacentral:rRNA from 1 species